rnacentral:rRNA from 1 species
UACGGAGGGGGCUAGCGUUAUUCGGAAUUAUUGGGCGUAAAGAGCGUGUAGGCGGCCAAGCAGGUCAGCUGUGAAAACUCGAGGCUCAACCUCGAGACGUCGGUUGAAACCGCUUGGCUAGAGUCCGGAAGAGGAGAGUGGAAUUCCCGGUGUAGCGGUGAAAUGCGCAGAUAUCGGGAAGAACACCCGUGGCGAAGGCGGCUCUCUGGGACGGUACUGACGCUGAGACGCGAAAGCGUGGGGAGCGAACAGG